UUCUGACCUGGACGGUGGCCAGAGGAGGACAAGAGACUUCCAGACAGAAUGGAGGGAUGAUUUGGGUGACCUGUGAAACGCAGUCGCACAUCUACAAGCAACCGGGCUCCCGGAACGUGGCGGCGGCCUCGGUGGUCUCGACGUUGCUGAUGGCGACUGAGUGGAACCGGUGGGAGGGCUUCCCGAGCCCGCUACUGCGGCCGAGAUUGUGGCUUCUUACUCCACCUGUCAGGCCACCCAGAAUUUGAGGCUGGAAAUCACACACAUCAUUCAGCAACACAAUGAUCAGUUUUCUCUCUGAGGGCUUCAGCUGGAGAAAUUUCCUGCCGGGAAGUUCAUCCUCAAGGAGAAAGCUGGGACCAGUGCUUUCAAAAGUCAGACAUGACAUAAGCUUUCCAAAAUGGAUCAAGAUGAAUGUUUUGGAUGAAGCAGAUAUAAAUGCUGAGUCUAGGGAUUAAAGGUCAAAUCCACAAGAUUUACCAGAAAGUAAAUACAAGUAUUCAGGUUGGGUUGCUUUCUUCCUUAAUGACAAUCAAUAUGUUGGAAGUUAUCAAGAAGUUCAGAUUCUGAUGAAGAAGGAAGAAUUGACCCAUGAAACAGUCAAUCUUUUAUAAUAUUUUUGAAAAGGAACACAGCACAAAGGGUAGACUGGCUUCUGAGAAAAUGCGUGCCAGGAAUUUCAGUAUCUGAUGUGGUGGUGACAGAAAGAAAGAGACAUUACCAAGAAGGAAUUCAGAUAAGGGACAAACCACAUUUUGAUUACUACCAACUUACUGAAUUGGAAGUGGAGGUCGGUUUGGGAGGAAAGCUGUGGCCAUAAACAUUGAAGAAGAGGAGCAGAUUCUUUGUGACAUUGAGCCUUUGUACAACACCACAGGAGAGGGAGUGCCAAUGAAUGUGGCUCACAGCACUCACUCUUGUGGACGAGGUGAUAACAAUGUGCAUUGUGCCUUUUUCUUUAGGAAUAUUUGAAGCUCGUCUCAAAGGUCAUAAGGGAUCAGAAAUACAGAUUUUGAUAGCAAUGCUACUCUUACUCAUGAGCUCAUAUGAGGAAGGUCAUUGGCUUUAUCUUCUUUAGAAUUAGAAUACUGGAGUUGGAUAUGAAAGUGGGAUUGUAAAAAUCAUUCUUAGAAGUUUAUUUCCUAGUUCUAUAAAAAUGGUUAUAUUGAGUGUUCUCUGUCAUCUAAUACUAUACUUGUGGACUGGACAAUAUGUGCUGUAUAAAAGGAGCCAAUUCUGUUAAAUUAGUGUAUCUGCUUAUUGUAUAGUCAUUAGACUGAAUAGAACUUGGAAAUGAUUUUUUUUUUUAAGUAUUUGAGUUCUUUUUGUUUGGUAUUGUGUUUGUAUUCAAUAAAACAUUUUAUUAGUGGUAAGUGUGCACUGGAGACUUUUUAAAAAGAUUUUAUUUAUUUAUUUGAGAGAGAGAGAGAGCAUGAGCGGGGG